rnacentral:rRNA from 1 species
GACGGAAGGUGCAAGCGUUGCUCGGAAUCACUGGGCGUAAAGGGUGCGUAGGCGGCCUGGUAAGUCUGGCGUGAAAGCCCAGGGCUCAGCCCUGGAACUGCGUCCGAUACUGGUUGGCUUGAAUCCGGGAGAGGGAUGCGGAAUUCCAGGUGUAGCGGUGAAAUGCGUAGAUAUCUGGAGGAACACCGGUGGCGAAGGCGGCAUCCUGGACCGACGACUGACGCUGAGGCGCGAAAGCUAGG